GGCUCAGGAUGAACGCUGGCGGCGUGCUUAACACAUGCAAGUCGAACGAAGCACUUAUGACAGAUUCUUCGGAUGAUGGAUUAAGUGACUGAGUGGCGGACGGGUGAGUAACGCGUGGGUAACCUGCCUCAUACAGGGGGAUAACAGUUAGAAAUGACUGCUAAUACCGCAUAAGCGCACAAUACCGCAUGGUAUGGUGUGAAAAACUCCGGUGGUAUGAGAUGGACCCGCGUCUGAUUAGCUAGUUGGUGGGGUAACGGCCUACCAAGGCGACGAUCAGUAGCCGACCUGAGAGGGUGAUCGGCCACAUUGGAACUGAGACACGGUCCAAACUCCUACGGGAGGCAGCAGUGGGGAAUAUUGCACAAUGGGCGAAAGCCUGAUGCAGCAACGCCGCGUGAAGGAAGAAGGUCUUCGGAUCGUAAACUUCUGUCCUUAGGGAAGAUAAUGACGGUACCUUUGGAGGAAGCCCCGGCUAACUACGUG
rnacentral:rRNA from 1 species